UACAGAGGUCUCAAGCGUUGUUCGGAUUCAUUGGGCGUAAAGGGUGCGUAGGUGGCGCCGUAAGUCAGGUGUGAAAUUUCGGAGCUUAACUCCGAAACUGCAUUUGAUACUGCGGUGCUUGAGGACUGGAGAGGAGACUGGAAUUUACGGUGUAGCAGUGAAAUGCGUAGAUAUACGAAGGAACGCCAAAAGCGAAGGCAGCUCUCUGGGUCCCUACCGACGCUGGGGUGCGAAAGCAUGGGGAGCGAACAGG
rnacentral:rRNA from 1 species